rnacentral:lncRNA from 1 species
UUAACCAUACCCUCAUACCUCACACAAGUGAAGUCAUUCCGUGUGUAUAACAUGUUACAGGUGUUUAAGGCAAGUGGAAGAGUGGUGUAAAACCAGUUGAAGUGUGGUGUAUAAUCAGUUGAAGAGUGGUGUAAAACCAGUUGAAGUGUGGUGUAUAAUCAGUUGAAUAGUGGUGUAAAACCAGUUGAAGAGUGGUGUAAAACCAGUUGAAGAGUGGUGUAUAACCAGUUGAAGUGUUUUGUAUAACCAGUUGACGAGGUGUGUAUAACCAGUUGAAGAGGUGUGUAUAACCAGUUGAAGUGUGGUGUAUAACCAGUUGAAGUGUGGUGUAUAACCAGUUGAAGAGGUGUGUAUAACUAGUUGAAGAGUUGUGAAUAACCAGUUGAAG